rnacentral:rRNA from 1 species
UACAGAGGGUGCAAGCGUUGUUCGGAAUUACUGGGCGUAAAGCGCGUGUAGGCUGCGGUGUAAGUCGGACGUGAAAGCCCUUGGCUUAACCAAGGAAGUGCGUCCGAUACUGCGUCGCUUGAGUGUCGGAGGGGGCGGCGGAAUUCCCGGUGUAGAGGUGAAAUUCGUAGAUAUCGGGGAGGAACACCUGUGGCGAAGGCGGCCGCCUGGACGAUAACUGACGCUGAGA